CGAAGUGAUUUCCGCUUUUGUACUACUUUUGUAUUUGGACAGGGGCCGACGCGGGGACUUAUGGGCUCUUACACUAGUAUUGGUUUGUCAUAGUUGGACAAUUAGGAUGUUUUUUUUUUUUGUGGUGGUUUGUAUAAGGACCCUCCUUAGGGUCUACCUUUUAGUUUUGGUUGUAAUUAUAAGGGUGUAAUAGUUUGAGCAGGUACUUUUGGAGAAUGUAAUUAUAACCUUUUUGGGAUUUGUAUAUAGUAUGUAAGGUACUCUUUUGGAUUU